UACAUGGGGUGCAAACGUUGCUCGGAAUUAUUGGGCGUAAAGGGCGCGUAGGCGGCUUUGCAAGUGACGGGUGAAAUCCCACGGCUUAACCGUGGAACUGCCUGUCAGACUGCAUGGCUUGAGACCAGGAGAGGUGAGUGGAAUUCCCAGUGUAGCGGUGAAAUGCGUAGAUAUUGGGAGGAACACCAGUGGCGAAGGCGGCUCACUGGACUGGUACUGACGCUGAGGCACGAAAGCGUGGGGAGCAAACAGG
rnacentral:rRNA from 1 species